rnacentral:rRNA from 1 species
UACGGAGGGGGCUAGCGUUGUUCGGAAUUACUGGGCGUAAAGCGCGCGUAGGCGGACCUGCAAGUCGGGGGUGAAAGCCCGAGGCUCAACCUCGGAACUGCCUUCGAUACUGCGGGACUCGAGUCCGGGAGAGGUGAGUGGAAUUCCUAGUGUAGAGGUGAAAUUCGUAGAUAUUAGGAAGAACACCAGUGGCGAAGGCGGCUCACUGGCCCGGUACUGACGCUGAGGCGCGAAAGCGUGGGGAGCAAACGGG